rnacentral:rRNA from 1 species
UACGAAGGGGGCUAGCGUUGUUCGGAUUUACUGGGCGUAAAGCGCACGUAGGCGGAUCGUUAAGUCGGGGGUGAAAUCCUGGAGCUCAACUCCAGAACUGCCUUCGAUACUGGCGAUCUUGAGUCCGGAAGAGGUGAGUGGAACUCCUAGUGUAGAGGUGGAAUUCGUAGAUAUUCGCAGGAACACCAGUGGCGAAGGCGACUCGCUGGACUUGUGGUGACGCUGAGACGCGAAAGCGUGGGUAGCAAACAGG